rnacentral:rRNA from 1 species
AGAGUUUGAUCAUGGCUCAGAACGAACGCUGGCGGCAGGCCUAACACAUGCAAGUCGAACGCUCGUAGCAAUACGAGAGUGGCAGACGGGUGCGGAACACGUGGGAACAUACCCUUUGGUUUGGAAUAACUCAGGGAAACUUGAGCUAAUACCGGAUAAGCCCGUAAGGGGAAAGAUUUAUCGCCGAAGGAUUGGCCCGCGUCCGAUUAGCUAGUUGGUGAGGUAAUGGCUCACCAAGGCGACGAUCGGUAGCUGGUCUGAGAGGAUGAUCAGCCACAUUGGGACUGAGACACGGCCCAAACUCCUACGGGAGGCAGCAGUGGGGAAUAUUGGACAAUGGGCGCAAGCCUGAUCCAGCCAUGCCGCGUGAGUGAUGACGGCCCUAGGGUUGUAAAGCUCUUUCACCCACGACGAUAAUGACGGUAGUGGGAGAAGAAGCCCCGGCUAACUUCGUGCCAGCAGCCGCGGUAAUACGAAGGGGGCUAGCGUUGUUCGGAUUUACUGGGCGUAAAGCGCGCGUAGGCGGAUCUUUAAGUCAGGGGUGAAAUGCCGGAGCUCAACUUCGGAACUGCCUUUGAUACUGGAGAUCUUGAGUUCGGGAGAGGUGAGUGGAACUGCGAGUGUAGAGGUGAAAUUCGUAGAUAUUCGCAAGAACACCAGUGGCGAAGGCGGCUCACUGGCCCGAUACUGACGCUGAGGCGCGAAAGCGUGGGGAGCAAACAGGAUUAGAUACCCUGGUAGUCCACGCCGUAAACGAUGGAUGCUAGCCGUUAGGCAGCUUGCUGC